rnacentral:rRNA from 1 species
UAUACAGCGAAACUGCGAAUGGCUCAUUAUAUAAGUUAUCGUUUAUUUGAUAGCACCUUACUACUUGGAUAACCGUGGUAAUUCUAGAGCUAAUACAUGCUAAAAAUCCCGACUCACGAAGGGAUGUAUUUAUUAGAUUAAAAACCAAUGCCUUCGGGCUUUCUGGUGAUUCAUGAUAACUUCUCGAAUCGCAUGGCCUUGCGCCGGCGAUGGUUCAUUCAAAUUUCUUCCCUAUCAACUUUCGAUGCGAAGGUUUUGUCUUCGCAUGGUUACAACGGGUAACGGAGGGUUAGGGCUCGACCCCGGAGAGGGAGCCUGAGAAAUGGCUACCACUUUUAAGGAAGGCAGCAGGCGCGCAAAUUACCCAAUCCCGACACGGGGAGGUAGUGACAAUAAAUACUGAUACAGGGCUCUUAUGGGUCUUGUAAUCGGAAUGAGUACAAUUUAAAUCCCUUAACGAGGAACAAUUGGAGGGCAAGUCUGGUGCCAGCAGCCGCGGUAAUUCCAGCUCCAAUAGCGUAUAUUAAAAUUGUUGUGGUUAAAAAGCUCGUAGUUGAACCUUGGGCCUGGCUGGCCGGUCCCCCUCACCGGGUGCACUGGUCCGGCCGGGUCUUUCCCUCUGUCGAACCGCAUGCCCUUCACUGGGUGUGUCGGGGAAACAGGACUUUUACUUUGAAAAAAUUAGAGUGCUCCAGGCAGGCCUAUGCUCGAAUAGUACAGCAUGGAAUAAUAGAAUAGGACGUGUGGUUCUAUUUUGUUGGUUUCUAGGACCGCCGUAAUGAUUAAUAGGGACAGUCGGGGGCAUCAGUAUUCAGCUGUCAGAGGUGAAAUUCUUGGAUCUGCUGAAGACUAACUACUGCGAAAGCAUUUGCCAAGGAUGUUUUCAUUGAUAAGGAACGAAAGUUAGGGGAUCGAAGACGAUCAGAUACCGUCGUAGUCUUAACCAUAAACUAUGCCGACUAGGGAUCGGACGAUGUUAUUUUUUGACUCGUUCGGCACCUUUCGAGAAAUCAAAGUGCUUGGGCUCCAGGGG